rnacentral:rRNA from 1 species
AUUGAACGCUGGCGGCAUGCCUUACACAUGCAAGUCGAACGGCAGCACGGGAGCAAUCCUGGUGGCGAGUGGCGAACGGGUGAGUAAUAUAUCGGAACGUGCCCAGUCGUGGGGGAUAACUACUCGAAAGAGUGGCUAAUACCGCAUAUUCUGUGAGCAGGAAAGCAGGGGAUCGCAAGACCUUGCGCUGAUUGAGCGGCCGAUAUCAGAUUAGCUAGUUGGUGGGGUAAAGGCCUACCAAGGCUACGAUCUGUAGCGGGUCUGAGAGGAUGAUCCGCCACACUGGAACUGAGACACGGUCCAGACUCCUACGGGAGGCAGCAGUGGGGAAUUUUGGACAAUGGGGGCAACCCUGAUCCAGCCAUGCCGCGUGAGUGAAGAAGGCCUUCGGUUGUAAAGACGUCGUUCGGUCCGGGAAGGAAAUCGCGUAGGCGUAAUACCCUAGUGUGGAUGACGGUACCGGAA